CUACACGGGCGUAGCCCCGCCGAACCCACUCGCCAUCGCCGGCGAGGGGAUAAGGCCGCCACGCGUGCGCCUCGAUCCCUCUCCCACUCUACUCACACCACUCGCCCGCUGCGCCUCUCCCUCUCCCCACCAGAUCCCUCCUCGCACUCCCUCGAUGAAAUCGCCCGAGCAGCCGCCAUGGCCAUCGCCGUCGUCGCGGCCACUGGCCUCCCCGCGGAUGGAGCUCAUGUCCAGGAGGACCUCCGGCGUCGUCUCCUUCGCCACGUGCACCGGUUCGAUCUAGGACCGCUCAAAGCCUCGCCAUCGAGCUCUUCUCCGCCGCGGACGUCACAACCUUGCCGUCGUCUGCUGCUCCUGGCCCUCACCGAGCCUUUCUUGUGCUCCCCGAUGCCACCGCCGACGGAUGCUACUACGUGGAUACCGCUGACGACGAGGAGUAGUUAGGAGGUCCCAGGCAGGAGGUCUUGCCUCUUCAAUCGUUGUUGCUUUUGUGUUUGCCUUCUAAAAGCAGUCUUGUUUAAGUUAUGUCUGUACUCAGAUAUUGUUGCUUCCGCUGACGCUUGUGUAUCGAGCUUGUAUUCGAGCCCUCGAGGCCCCUGGCUUGUGAUAUAAAGCUUGUAUUAUUUUGAUU